AGACCCGAAACCCGGUGAUCUAGCCAUGGGCAGGUUGAAGGUUGGGUAACACUAACUGGAGGACCGAACCGACUAAUGUUGAAAAAUUAGCGGAUGACCUGUGGCUGGGGGUGAAAGGCCAAUCAAACCGGGAGAUAGCUGGUUCUCCCCGAAAGCUAUUUAGGUAGCGCCUCGUGAAUUCAUCUCCGGGGGUAGAGCACUGUUUCGGCUAGGGGGCCAUCCCGGCUUACCAACCCGAUGCAAACUGCGAAUACCGGAGAAUGUUAUCACGGGAGACACACGGCGGGUGCUAACGUCCGUCGUGAAGAGGGAAACAACCCAGACCGCCAGCUAAGGUCCCAAAGUCAUGGUUAAGUGGGAAACGAUGUGGGAAGGCCCAGACAGCCAGGAUGUUGGCUUAGAAGCAGCCAUCAUUUAAAGAAAGCGUAAUAGCUCACUGGUCGAGUCGGCCUGCGCGGAAGAUGUAACGGGGCUAAACCAUGCACCGAAGCUGCGGCAGCGACACUGUGUGUUGUUGGGUAGGGGAGCGUUCUGUAAGCCUGUGAAGGUGUGUCGUGAGGCAUGCUGGAGGUAUCAGAAGUGCGAAUGCU
rnacentral:rRNA from 2 species